AGAGUUUGAUCAUGGCUCAGAACGAACGCUGGCGGCAUUAACACAUGCAAGUCGCACGGGACUCCAGGGCUUGCUCUGGGGAAUAGUGGCGCACGGGUGAGUAACACGUAGGUAACGUUCCAUUUGGUCUGGAAUAACCUGCCGAAAGGCGGGCUAAUACCGGAUAAGUUUGCGUUGGAUUCGUCCGAUGCAAAGAAAGCAGGGCAACUUGCGCCGAUUGAUCGGCCUGCGUCCCAUCAGCUAGUUGGUGAGGUAACGGCUCACCAAGGCGACGACGGGUAGCUGGUCUGAGAGGAUGAUCAGCCACACUGGGACUGAGACACGGCCCAGACUCCUACGGGAGGCAGCAGUGGGGAAUAUUGGUCAAUGGGCGAAAGCCUGAACCAGCAAUGCCGCGUGAGUGAUGAAGGCCUUCGGGUUGUAAAGCUCUGUCGGGAGGGACGAAAAAACCUGGGUAACGCCAGGGCUUGACGGUACCUCCAAAGGAAGCACCGGCUAACUCUGUGCCAGCAGCCGCGGUAAUACAGAGGGUGCAAGCGUUGUUCGGAAUUACUGGGCGUAAAGCGCGUGUAGGCUGCAAUGUAAGUCGGAUGUGAAAGCCCUUGGCUUAACCAAGGAAGUGCAUCCGAUACUGCGUCGCUUGAGUGUCGGAGGGGGUGGCGGAAUUCCCGGUGUAGAGGUGAAAUUCGUAGAUAUCGGGAGGAACACCUGUGGCGAAGGCGGCCACCUGGACGACAACUGACGCUGAGACGCGAAAGCGUGGGUAGCAAACAGGAUUAGAUACCCUAGUAGUCC
rnacentral:rRNA from 1 species